GCCGAGGAUAGACAUCACGUGACCAAAUGAUCAAAUAUGGCUUCCAAAACAGAACCCGCCAAUGGUGAAGAGAGAGGAGCAAUCCAAUCACCAGAACAAGCACCAAAUGAGCAGCAGAAAGGAAGAAAAGUCGUGAGAGGAACUAAAGCACCUGAGAUUCCUUUAUUUGAGAGAAAGAAUUGGCUGCUUCACCUUCACUACGUACGUAAAGACUAUGAGACGUGCAAGGUUUUAAUUCAAGAGCUAUUGAACGAAACCAGUGGCCAGUGUGAAUAUGCCGUGUACACUAAAGGUCUGAUAUUGCGUCAAGAGGGUGACUUGAAUGAGUCCCUGAGGUUCUUCCAACAGGCAGUUCAACUCAAUCCCAAUAAUUCAUCUAAUGUGAAACAAGUAGCACGCUCACUUUUUCUUCUCGGCUCUUACAAGACUGCUCUCGCAACUUACUCCGAGGCAGAACUGCUGACUCAGGAUUGGGAGGUGCUCCAUAACAAAGGAGUCUGUUACAUUCAUUUGAAAGAAUACAAAGAAGCGAUACAUACACUAACAAAGGCAAUACAGUUGAGCCCACAGAUAGUCUCAUUCAAGGAAUUAGGAAGGUCUCAUCUCAUACUGGGCGACAUACAUAAAGCCAUUGAGACUUACCGUAAAGCAGUCAAGCAUAAUCCUGAAGAUCCCGAACUACUCGCCAGCCUAGGGCUCCUCUAUUUGCAAAUUGGUUCCUCUCAGAAGGCAUUUGAGUCCCUUGGUAGUGCCUUGACCUUUGACCCAAGCAAUUAUAAAGCCAUAUUAGCGGCUGGCUCUAUCAUCCAGUCUCAUUCUGAUAAUGAUGUUGCUCUCUCAAAGUAUCGAAUUGCAGCACAGACCUCACCAGAAUCACCUCAUCUGUGGAACAACAUUGGAAUGUGCUUUUAUGGAAAGAGCAAAUAUGUUGCUGCUAUAAGCUGCUUAAAGAGAGCUACCUACCUUGCUCCUUUUGAGUGGAAGAUACUGUACAAUCUGGGGCUGCUUCAUCUGGCAAUGUCACAAUAUGCAUCUGCAUUUCAUUUCUUAAGAUCAGCUCAAAGGUUAGAGCCAAAGAGCUCAGAAGUAUUAAUGUUACUUGGUAUUGCUUUAGCUCAUUUAGAUGAUUCUGAGAAUGCUUUGAGAGCUUACGGGCAAGCAGUUCUACUCAAACGGGAUGAACCACUCUUACAUCUCAAUUAUGCUAUUGCUCUGUACAAUAAUGGUGAUGUUAAAGGGUCUGCUGUACAGUAUCGCAAAUAUCAAUCAAGAUCAAGAUCACUAGAAGAGGAAGACCCUGAUCCCGAGGUUCAAGAGGUUAGUUUUAAACUGGGCCGGUGCCUUGCUCCAGAUUGGUGAGACUAGUGGCAAGGUACCAAUACCUGUGAAGAAAGAAGAGGAGAAAGGAAAGAAUGACGAGGAGGAGGAAGAUGGAGAGAGAGUGUAUAGUAAAAUUGUGAGGCAGUCUGAUGGAAAGAAGGUCACUGUUCAAGUUAAAACAAAACUGAAACAAGCAGAGAAGUAAUGACAUUAAAAGACGACAACCUGGUCACUCUAUUUUAGUUAUAACAUUUAUUUGAAAUUCAGUAAAAUAAGGAACGAUAA
rnacentral:misc_RNA from 1 species